rnacentral:rRNA from 1 species
UACGGAGGGUGCAAACGUUGCUCGGAAUCAUUGGGCGUAAAGCGCACGUAGGCGGUCGGCUAUGUCGGAUGUGAAAGCCUCGGGCUUAACCCGAGAAGGGCAUCCGAAACUGGCCGGCUUGAGUAUGGAAGAGGGUCUCGGAAUUCCCGGUGUAGAGGUGAAAUUCGUAGAUAUCGGGAGGAACACCAGUGGCGAAGGCGGAGACCUGGGCCAAUACUGACACUGAUGAGCGAAAGCCAGGGGAGCAAACGGG